GAAGUAAAAGUUGUAACAAGGUUUCCGUAGGUGAACCUGCGGAAGGAUCAUUCAUAAUAAGUGUUUUACUGCACUUUUUAAAAAUAGUACUCACCUUGUGUGCAAUGUUGUGUUUCUUUUCGGAGAAACACCUACACCAACCUAUAACCUUGAACCACUUUGUCUGAAAAACUAUUAUGAAUACUUAAUUCAAAAUACAACUUUCAACAACGGAUCUCUUGGCUCUC
rnacentral:misc_RNA from 1 species